rnacentral:rRNA from 1 species
AUGGGAGGGGCUUGGGUACAAUUCCGAAUACGCUAUUAUAUGUUUGCGCUCGUUUUUGUUGUUUUUGUUGUGGAAACCGUCUUUCUAUACCCUUGGGCAAUGAGUUUCGACGUAUUGGGUGUAUCCGUUUUUAUCGAAGCUUUGAUUUUCGUGCUUAUCUUAGUUGUUGGUUUAGUUUAUGCAUGGCGAAAAGGAGCCUUGGAAUGGUCUUAA